UAUGCUGUUUUCUCUUCCCUCUCUCAUCCUCUCUCCCUCUCUCUCUGGCCAUCUUGGGUGCUGUGUCUGAAGCUACUCCAACUGCAGGUAUUGUACCAUCAACAGAGGUAAUGGGCAUGGCUCGGGGCAGUGCAAAUGGAGCCCAUGCUGGCCAGAGCCCAGCAAGAGGAAGUGGCGAGGGCUGAAAGCAUGCUCCAGGUCACCCUUUCAGUGGAGAAGCCAAACUUGAAAGGAAGGUGUUUAGAGAGCAUUGACUAGAGGAUGUGAGCAUGCUCUCUCCUUUCAUAUAAUGCUUGUCCUUACGAAAGAGGCUGGCUCAGAAGUGGUCUCACAUGUAGAACCCUCUGAAGCUGAGAGAAAACCUGUUGUGGCCACCUGAGCCUUGCUGGACCUGACAUCUCUGAUCAUAGAGAUGCUCUUAGAAGGUGUGCUAUAGAGGGAACAGCUGGUUCCUGGCCCUGGUGACACCACAAUCCCCCUGAAAGGGUGAACACACUGCAUGCUGGCCUUUGCAUGCUGCAUGGGGGGACCCAGCGCCAUUCCACCAGCUAGCGUAUGUUCCAUUCAGUGAGAAUAAGCAAGCACGUCUCUGAGUGAGACCAGGGCUCCAGAGCCUGGAGCCUCAAUGUGUGUCAGGGAUUGAUGGUCUUGACUCCAGGAACUCAGCUCCUCAGUAUUUGGUAUGGAGACAGACCCCCUCCUUUGGGGUCAGGAGCUGGCCAGGUGGGUCUGUGACAAAAGCCAACCUGCUAACAAGUUUCUCCUCCAGUCUUCAUGCUGUUGGUUUGAGGGCCAUCAAAGCUCUACCAAGGGCUGCCCUCAAGCCAGAGAAACUAGGCAAGGGCUGCCUGGGUUCCUUUCCUAGUCCUCUGAGCUUGGAUUUUCCCACAAGUUAGGAGAUGAGGGCAUUCCAGGGUACACGAGAGCCUGCAUAAAGAAACAAGUUUUGUUAAGACACACCUUUAGGUGAGAGAAUCAAGAACCAGGCAGGAAUCCGAGCUUGCUCUGUAUUUCCUAGCUCACUUGGUUUGCUUCCUACCAACACCCGUUUAUUUCCGCCCACUGCUUCCUACAUUGAUUCUGCUUCUGUUGCAUACCCCCUUAUGGUUUCAUGUUUUGCCAGCCAGAUCCGCCAGUAUUAAGAAACUACCAGUCUUCCCUACCUCAGCCUCCUACCCAGUAACCAGGCCAGCCAGCUAGGCCAGUGCUUCCUCCCACCAGCCCUCUUCCAGGAUGUGAGUCACAGAAGUUGUCCAAGGCCUGGGGACCACAGAGCAAACAAUUCUUGCCAUGCUAGAGGGAGGGUCACCCUGUCUUCCUGGCUCAUGUGUGAGUCUCUUCCCCAGUGGAGACAACAGGUACUUGGGGUGAGUCCACUCAAAGCUCAUUCAUUGGUCAAGCAUUUUUCCUGUCUCCUUCCUCAUUGGGCACUCCAGACCCAGUGUAGAGGAUCCAGCAGUAAGAAGUCUGCCGUGUUCAGAGGGCAGUCUGUGCAGCCCUCCUGUGAGCUGCAGUUGCAAGGAGACGUGUCAUUCCAACUCCCCCUCCAUGUCUUCCUUCCAAUUUUAAACGAUCUAAACUCAGCAUGCUGUGCAGGAUGGGCCCUGGGUCUUUGCUGUCAAUCAAGUGUGUUUUCCAGGCACCAACUUCCACAUGACACACGGGAAGGGCAGAUUGUACUUUUGGGUAACUGAGACAUGCCAGUUAUAUCAGAUGUUGUCAGCUUUGCGUGCACAACACCUUCUGGGGCCAGUAGAGCUUGGGUCUAUUCAAAGGGAGUGGUGUCCAGCCCUCCACCCUCUUCCUUCUCAUCCUCACCAAACCUCGUCACUUCCCCCCAAAUUGAUCAGUUCUUCUAUCGCCCGGCGAAAAUAAUCCCUCUCAUCCACCUGUAUCUUCAGUCUGCUAGGAUUGCUACCCAUCUGUCUAACAGUCUGUGACUUGGCUGGGGUAGUCUUCGUGCCAUGUGGACGAUCUUGGACCGAACAUUCCAUCUUGGAAUGCCUGGAAGCUGUUCUUGUCUUUGACUCAGCUCAGAGCUGUGAAGGUUGGGUGGGUUGCUGAUAGAAGAAGCUCUGUGGCGGGUUUAGGACAACGUGAAAAUGAACAAGAUGUGUCGUCUCUCCAUCUCUACACGAUACUCCCCCAAACGCUCAAGUCCUUAAUUGUGUGUCUUUCUUGGGGACUAAGACAGUCUAUAGGGUUAGCCUUCCCUAUAUUGGCAGACUCUCAGCUUCCAGAUCUAGGCUUCCCUAAACCAUCUUUGGUACUGGACAUUCAUGGCUCUCUCUAGGUUGCUGGCCAGCUGUUGAUUGCCAAUCAGUACCAGCCAGGGCUUUUCCCACACUCAUAGUUCCUGUGUGGCUACAACUUCUAACCCAGGAAUAUAUCUACCUAACCUGUGACCCCCUCUGUUAAUGCCAGCCCCUCUUCAGGGCUCAUCAGUCUUCCAUCCUCUCCCUAACUCAGUCCCAGGUUGAAAUGCUCUGACAGGCCUGAGCAAUACAUAGUUCCCUUGUGAAAAGCUCAUGCCCUUCCUGCCUGCCCGUCAGACGCUUUGGCUGAUUCUCUCUCCAGCUGUGGUGCCUUUCCUCUUGGCUUUGCCCUCCCUGUAUCCUGUGGCCCUCCAGCCUGGGAAUAACAGACAUAGCAAUGAGUGGGUCGAGGGCAUGCUGAUUCACCAGCUGUGGCCUCUGGAGGUCUACUCUUUACGGAACUUCACUGGGGGGCACACCUGGGGGCUUCCAGUAGCUCCCACCCUCUCUCCCCAUUUCCCCUUCUCACUUAUACUCUGAAGCUUGCCACAGCCCCAGGGGAAGAACCCAGGAACUAUCACCACAGAGAAUGCCUUCCUUUAUACGUGGUAGGAGUGGCUGUCAGAGGAGGGGGAUGUGGCUGGAAGCAUCCACAUGGUCGCUUCUCGCCCUUAUCUUCAAGCUGCUGAACAAAGUUCAAAACCUAGUCCAACCUCUCAUCAUAUCUGUCCCAAGGGCACUUGCUGAAAUGCCCUGGAAAGCAUGUGAUACAGAGGGACUAAGGGAGAUGUGAGUAUAUGUCCCUGUAUGUUAAAGGACCAGUGGUCAUAGGAGACCAUUGAGGAAAAUGGACUUGGAUUCAUGGGCCCUGGAAAAUGUACAGCCUCUGUACCUGAAGGAAAGGAACCCAGGUUCCCGGACUCUAUGACAGGGCGGGGCAGUGACCUAAGUUAUGAGGAGUAUUUUCUCAUGACACCAUUUAAAUAG
rnacentral:lncRNA from 1 species